AUAAAUAAAUAAAACACAGCUUUUGACAUUAAUUGAUGGACUGCAGUCAUGUUGAUUACUUGUGGAUAACUGUGAUGUUUUUAUCAUCUGUUUGGACUCUCAUUCUGAUGGCACCCAUUCACUGCAGAGGAUCCAUUGGUGAGCAAGUGAUGUAAUGCUACCUUUCUCAAAAUCUGUUUCUGAAGAAACAAACUCAUCUUCAUCUUGAAUGGCCUGAGGGUGAGUACAUUAUCAGUAAAUUUUCAUUUUUGGGUAAACUAUUCCUUUAAGGACAUUUUUGUUUACUUUUACAUGAUAAACAAUUCUGAAACUGUGUCCUGAAACAAAUCCAGCUGAAAACCGCAGAUCUAUAUAGUUUUAGAUAGAGGAUCAUUUCAAACCCCACCUCAGGCUAAGGUUUAAACCAUGCGUCCUGAAACAAAUCCAGUCGAGAACCAAUGAUCUAUACAGUUAUAAAUACAGGAUCAUUUUAAACUCUCCUUCAGGAUAAGGUUUAAACACACACACACACACACACACACACAAAGUGACUGAUAGCACCGGCUCGGAUCAGACUGUUGACAAAUCACUGUGAAAUUUGCCUUGGGCCUACAUCAUGUAUGCCAGAGAAAUUCACAGGAAUGAUUAGGGAAAGAGGAAGUGACAUCAUUGACCUCCAGGGAAGCCAUGUUGAAAAGCUGAUGAGAAGACCCCCCCCACCCCCACCCCCCGGAGAAAGCAAUAUCAUGGAGGGAGGACUCAAGGUUUAGCCAGAAGCAACAAUUUGAGGUUAUGGAUUUGUAUAAUGGAUUUAUAAUGGAUUUGUUUCUUACAAACUUGCCAUUUUCAUUCCACAAGACAUGAAUUGAUGGACUGGACUCAUGUUGUGAAUUAAUGUGAUGUUUUUAGCAGCUAUUUAAAUUCUGAAGGCACCCAUUCAAUGCAAUGGAUCCAUUGGUGAGCAAGUCAUGUUAAGCUAAAUUUCUCAAAUCCAUUCCCAUGAAGAAACAAACUCCUCUAUAUCUUGGAU
ensembl:lncRNA